CAGGGUGUAGCUCAGCUUGGUAGAGCGCGGGGUUUGGGUCCUCGAGGCCGCUGGUUCAAGUCCAGUCACCCUGA
rnacentral:tRNA from 2 species